GUAAGUUUAGUUUUUAAUACAUUUAUAUUGUGAUCAGUUAUUACAUAGCACAGUAGCUAACACUCCAGACAUAGAAAUAUGGAGUAAUUUAAGGACCCUAGAAUAGGCAUUAAAUUGAAUUAAUGCAUGUAUAAAAUCUUUGUGCACCUCACUACUUAAUAAUAAAGGAAGGCCUAAUUGCAAAUUGUGUUUGGAGCAGAAUGAGAGGCCACCAAUGCCGGAGAGUUGCCAGCCAGCACUAGCACACCUCAUAAAGCGUUAGUUGCUGGGCGGCGAACCCAUCGAAGAGGCCGGACUUCGGGGACAUAGUGGCCACUCUUGAGAAGUACGAUGAAUGUGUGAAGGAGGGACUUCCCUUAACUCAUCAUUCAAGACUUGUCAGCAGUAACCUCAUUGAACGCUUAAAAGGCUGCGUCUCCAUGAGUUCCUCCAUACGUGUACAUGCUUAACUCCCUCCCCUUCCAUACCCCUUCCUCCAAUAAAGAACACCAAAAGGCCAUCAAUAGAACCAGCUGCGUCUGCAAUAGGCAUUGAAGAACACCGUUAAUUGUUUGUUGGAUGAGAUAACAAACCGAAAAUGCAGUAAUUCACUGUGAAAAUUGUCACAGAAUAUUGCAAAAUCUAGCUCAGCCAACUAUAUCUUUGUAUUCAUUAAGACUCAUAUGGAGUCCAUAUGUAUAAGGUUGUAGCUGUUAA